UUUUUUUUUUUUUUUUUUUUUUUUGAGGCAGAGAUAGCAUGCAUGGGGGUUGGCACACCUAACCCCUGUUUUGUUCAAGAGGUGAAUAUAUAAUGUCCUAUAUAAUGUCCAUAUAAACCUAUUUAUAUGUGUGUUACUGAGCUGAUGCAUAUAUAUGCAUUAAAUGAGCAUAUAUAUUGGGGGUUUGUGUGUGUAUAUAUACACAUAGUUAUUUUUAAAAGAAACUAAAUUCAGUAAAUCCGAUUCAUUAGAUAAUUCUAAACUGGAUCAGACUUCAAAGAGCAACAUCUUCAUUUUAGACUCAUUCAUUUUCCCAAAAAAUAUUUACUGAGUGCCUACCAUGCGCUAGGCUCCCUUUUAGCACAAGGAAACAGUGGUGAACUAAAAAGCAACCACUGCCCUCAUGGAGUUUACAGUCUAGUUGGAGGGACAGACAUUCAGCAAAUAAUCGUGCAAAGUCAUUUACAUGAAAUUCUUUCCAUUUUUUUUUCAAUAAACAUACAUGGAGGUAAAGGCCAAGGUUGUAAGGCCAUAAAUCAAAAAGAUGCUGGUUGACCCUCAAAAGGCUCACCACUUAGGAGGGAACAGGGACCCACAGACAACAGUUUGCUCCUAAUAAUAGUAAGGACUGAAUGGAUGUUUCUGCAAAGUACCAUGGGAGCAGGUAGAAUGAGACUGCAUGUAGGGGACUAUUCACGGGAGACUUUAUGGGAGGAAGCAUGUGAACUGAGCCUUGAAAGCUGUGGAGACAACACCCCAACAUAAGGUGAGUGCAAAGCCAUACAACCUGAUAGUGACAGACGCAGAGGGAAAACACUAGGAUGCCAGAGCUUACAGCAGCUGCCCGGGGGGCCAGCAGCUAGAGCUGACUUCUCUUGGGUCCUUGAGGGGAGCUUUGGACCCUCAUAGACUGAAAAACCUUCAGAGGGUGCAAAUGUGGGCAGGUCCCCUCCCCGUGACAGCCAUCUGAGUCUAUGCACAUCUGGUAAGCUGUGUGCAGAGCUGAGCAGCUCUAAGGCUCACUGGUCUUAGCCAAAGAACAAUCUGGUUUCUGAGGUGUGUUUGCUAGCAACUCAGAUUACACCUUCCACUCGAAGAGGGAAGCUGGGACAGAUGCCAAACCCACAGUAAGCCACUCUGGCCCUUAAAAUGGCACUUAGAGGGGCUGUAGAGAAUAUAAAGUGGAUCAAUCACUCAAAAUAGAAGAGCAAUCAUAAUCGUAAAAUUCUCAUUCAGCUCCAUUCAGUCGCCAGCAACAAAGGGACUGAUUGAUCAUUGCCAGCUCGGCUACCAGCCAGCUAAAAAAAAUUAAGUGCGUUAAAGACAGAAAUAGCAUUGAUAUACAGGUAGGAUAUAUAGACACAUACAAAUUUAUCCAAAUAGUAAAUAUACAGCACCCAGAUUAAAAAACACAAAAAACAACAACAACAAAAAAACCCAGACUCUUACCAACCUCACAAAAGCCCUAUGUUUCUAGUCACUCCCCCAAGGUUAACCAUUACCUUUAUUCCAAUAUCAUAGAUUAGUUUUGCCUGUUUUGUAGUCUACAGAAAUGGAUCAUACAGUAUGGACUUUUGCGUGGUGUCGUCUUUAAUCAUCAUGCUUGUCCUGUCUGGUUGCAUGUUAUUCAGACUCAGUGCACAGUGUUGUGUGACUAUUACCAUUUAUUUACAUCUGUUGCUGUUGAUGGGCAUUUGGGUACUUUCCACUUUGUGGCUAUUACAAAUUGUGCUUCCAUAUACACUUAAGGACGUAUCUUUGGCAAUCACAGGUAUGCAUUUCUCUUGAGUCCGUGCCCAGGAGUAGAAUGGCUGUGUUGUGGCAUAUAGGUAGAUUCGGCUUUAAUAGAUCUUGUGAAAGAGUUUUCCAAAGUGGCUCUAUUUGCUUACACCCUCACUAACAGCGUGCUGAUUGUUCUAUGAGUUUACAGACUCUUGGAAUUUUGCGUCUUUUCCAUUUUAGUCAUUCUGGCUGGUGCGUAAGUGGUAUUGCACUGUACUCUUCAUUUUUGUAUUCUGGAUGACUAGUGAAAUGUAUCACUUUUUCAUAUGUUUAUUGGUCAGUGAGAUACCCUCUUUGGUGACUUAUCUGUUCAAGUGUUUUGCUCAUUUUUCUAUGAGGUUGUCUUUCUUGUCCCUAUUGAUCUGUAGGAGUUUUUAGGAAAUUGUUGAUGUGAGACUUUUGUGGAUCUAUACAAUGUUUUGAGGGUUGCCUUUUCACUCUGUGUCUUUUGAUGGAUGGAAGAUCUCAAUUUUAAAUUACUCCCAUUUAUCAAUAAUUUUUCCCUUAUGACUAGCCAUAUUUGUGUCCUAUUUUAAAAAAUCUUUGCCUACUCCGAGAUCACAGAUAUUUUUUCCUGUUUUCCUCUAGAAAAUUGUGUUACUUCUGAUACAUAGAUCUACAAUCCAUAUGAAAUAAAAUUUUCGUAUAGUGUGUGGUAAAAAUCAAAAUACAUUUUUUUCUACAUGGAUAUUCGAUUUACAUCUAACCAAUUUUAAUACUGAGAUAAAAUCUGCAGGUUCUUAAAGAAGCCACCAUGGAAUAGAGAGAGAAAAUUUGAUUAAGAUGUACUGUGAAGGCAGGGGAGGAGUCUUCAUAUUUAUAUGAUCAUACUUAAUGCUUUGUGUAAAGGUCCUUUAAGAUGAGGCUAAGUUUGCCUUUUCAAUUACUAUGCCAUUAAGUAGGUGCCAUUGAGAUAGACUCAAGGUGGCAUGGACGUACGUAGUCAAGGUCACCCAGUAAGAUCCUUGCCAGGGAAAAUGGCAACACUUUUGAAAGGAAAACAUCAUAAUUCAGAUGCCUUAAAAUAAAGCUUUGCCUCAGUGUUCGCUGGUAGCUCAGUGGGUUAAGGAUCUGGCAUUCUCACUGCUGUGGCAUGUCCCACUCCAGGCCAGGGAACUUUUGCAGGCGGCAGUUGUGGGCCAAAAGAAAGAUCAUUGCCGACACACAAUAAAAAUGUAUUAGAUGUGUGAGGAAGCAGGAAAAUAUGGCCUAUAAUCAAGAAGAAACCUAUCAUCAGGCACUAAGAUAACCAAGCUGUUGGAACAAGGAAGGGCUUUAAAGCAGCCAUUGUAAAUAUAUUCAAAGACGGAAAAUAAAAAUAUGGUCCUACUAAGUAAACAGAGAAAUCCUAAGGGGAAAUAGAAGCUAUAAAAAGAACUAAAUGGAGAUUCCACGCUUGAAAAGUACACUCUGAAAUGGAAAAUUCACUGGAUGAGCUGGACAAUGAAAAAGCAGAAAAAUGGUUACUGACCUUUAAACUAAUAGGAAUAUCUAAUAAGAUAGUUAAUAGAUAAUUAAUAACAGGAUGAUAGCAAUUAUCUAAUAAGUAUACAUAUUUUUAAAAAUGGAAAAAGUAAUAGAACCACAGUGACCAAAGGGACACAUUGUCAUUACAGUAUCAGAAAGAGAGGAGUGAUUGAGAAUGGCACACAAAAGAUUGGUUUUUUUAAAUAAUGAUGUAAAAUCUUCCCAAAUUUAAUGGGAAAAAAGUUUAAGAAGGUCAACCAACCCUACGCGAGACAAAUAAAAUGAAACCAUAAUUUAGCCAUAUCAGCCUUGAACUCCUGAAAAUGAGAAAUAAAAAGUAAAAAUCCUGAACCAGCUAGAGAAAAAUGAUAUAUUACAUAGAGAAAAAAUAUCAUAUGAUAUUCUUCUUAUAAAAGAACUUCUUAUAAAAAAAUAAAGGUAGCCAAAUGACAAUAGGAUAAUAUAUUUUCAGUGCUGAAAGAGAAUGCUGUCAAACCAGAAUUUUAUAUGCAGAAAAAUAUAUCUUUAACAAAUUAGGGUGAAAUCAAGACACUGUCUUGAGAACUAUGUCUAGAUACUCAUGUUGCAACAGAAGAAAGGGAGGGGGGGAAACUGUAAUUGCAAUGUAUACAUGUAAGGAUAAUCUGACCCCCUUGCUGUACAGUGGGAAAAAAAAAAAAAAAAGACACUGUCAGAUAAAAGUUGAGACAGUCUGUUAGCCACAGAAUUGCAUGGACUAGUGGCAGUUCUUCAGGCUGCGUGUACAUGAUCCAUACAGACACUUAGAUCUAAGGAAGAAAUGAGCCGCCCCAGAAAAGGUGAGUAUGAAAGUAAAUACAAAAAAAAGAUGCGAUUUCUUGGGAAAUUAAAAGAGGGUGAGGAGAAGGAACAGAAAAGCAUAAUGAAGUGAAAACUAUAUGCAAUCAAAGAAGCUUAGAAUCAAACCCCAGCUCUACCACUUGUAAACCAUAUAUGAUCAUGGGUAAGUUGCUUGACUACUGUGAGCCAUUUCCUUCACUGUUACUGGGUUAAUAACCCUUACCUCUGUAUGGUUUCUAAGAAAUUGGGAGCAGGGAGGAAGUGGGAUGGACUGGGAGUUUGGAAUUAGUAGAUGCAAACUAGUACAUUUAGAAUGGAUAGACGAGGAGGUCCUACUGUAUAGCGCAAGGAACUCUAUCCAGUCUCUUGGGAUAGACCAUGAUAGAAUAUAAGAAAAGGAAUGUGUGUGUCUAUAUGUAUAUAUGUGUGACUGGGUCACUUUGGUGUACAGCAGAAAUGGGCACAACAUUUUUAAAAAGGGGGCGGAUUGAAGAAAUAUCCACAAAGUUCCUUGUACAGUGUCCAGGGCUCAGUGGGCACUCAGUGUCACAACGCUGAAUGUUAGGCAUUACGUAAAAGAGUCAAAAAUUGAAGUUCAUUGCAUUGAUCAGGUUACCUAAUCUGUGACAGUUUACUAUAUAUUUUAAACACUGAGACAACCAUGGUCCUAUCUUAUGCGACUGUUGCAAGAAUUAAGUGAAGUAACACAUUUAAGACAUUAUACGAUUGACAUAUAAAAAUGAUCAAAAUAGUUGUUUAGGAGUUCCCGUCAUGGCUCAGUGGUUAACGAAUCCGACUAGGAACCAUGAGGUUUCUGGUUCGGUCCCUGCCCUUGCUCAGUGGGUUAAGGAUCCGGCGUUGCCGGGAGCUGUGGUGUAGGUUGCAGAUGCGGCUCGGAUCCUCCGUUGCUGUGGCUCUGGUGUAGGCCGGUGGCUAACAGCUCCGAUUGGACCCCUAGCCUGAGAACCUGCAGGAGCGACCCAAGAAAUG
rnacentral:lncRNA from 1 species